rnacentral:misc_RNA from 1 species
GAUGAAGAACGCAGCGAAAUGCGAUAAGUAAUGUGAAUUGCAGAAUUCAGUGAAUCAUCGAAUCUUUGAACGCACAUUGCGACCGCUAGUAUUCUGGCGGGCAUGCCUGUCCGAGCGUCAUUUCAACCCUCAAGCCCCCGGGCUUGGUGUUGGGGAUCGGCGAGCCUCCGCGCCCGCCGUCCCCUAAAUCUAGUGGCGGUCUCGCUGUAGCUUCCUCUGCGUAGUAGCACACCUCGCACUGGGAAACAGCGCGGCCACGCCGUUAAACCCCCAACUUCUGAACGUUUGACCUCGGAUCAGGUAGGAAUACCCGCUGAACUUAAGCAUAUCAAUAAGCGGAGGA